GCAGUUCGAACGGUAACAGGAAGCAGCUUGCUGCUUUGCUGACGAGUGGCGGACGGGUGAGUAAUGUCUGGGAAACUGCCUGAUGGAGGGGGAUAACUACUGGAAACGGUAGCUAAUACCGCAUAAUGUCGCAAGACCAAAGAGGGGGACCUUCGGGCCUCUUGCCAUCGGAUGUGCCCAGAUGGGAUUAGCUUGUAGGUGGGGUAACGGCUCACCUAGGCGACGAUCCCUAGCUGGUCUGAGAGGAUGACCAGCCACACUGGAACUGAGACACGGUCCAGACUCCUACGGGAGGCAGCAGUGGGGAAUAUUGCACAAUGGGCGCAAGCCUGAUGCAGCCAUGCCGCGUGUAUGAAGAAGGCCUUCGGGUUGUAAAGUACUUUCAGCGGGGAGGAAGGGAGUAAAGUUAAUACCUUUGCUCAUUGACGUUACCCGCAGAAGAAGCACCGGCUAACUCCGUGCCAGCAGCCGCGGUAAUACGGAGGGUGCAAGCGUUAAUCGGAAUUACUGGGCGUAAAGCGCACGCAGGCGGUUUGUUAAGUCAGAUGUGAAAUCCCCGGGCUCAACCUGGGAACUGCAUCUGAUACUGGCAAGCUUGAGUCUCGUAGAGGGGGGUAGAAUUCCAGGUGUAGCGGUGAAAUGCGUAGAGAUCUGGAGGAAUACCGGUGGCGAAGGCGGCCCCCUGGACGAAGACUGACGCUCAGGUGCGAAAGCGUGGGGAGCAAACAGGAUUAGAUACCCUGGUAGUCCACGCCGUAAACGAUGUCGACUUGGAGGUUGUGCCCUUGAGGCGUGGCUUCCGGAGCUAACGCGUUAAGUCGACCGCCUGGGGAGUACGGCCGCAAGGUUAAAACUCAAAUGAAUUGACGGGGGCCCGCACAAGCGGUGGAGCAUGUGGUUUAAUUCGAUGCAACGCGAAGAAGCAUGACCCCCUCGUUGACAUCGACCGCAGGUGGUAUUAAAUAAGAACAGUGCCUUCCCCCCAGCAGGGAAAACGAGGAGAAGGGAGGGGGGUUAGUCUUCUUCCCCUGCCCGCCGAAAGAAAAUGAUUUGGUCCAACCACCGGGGGGGGUUGUUCACCCAUUUUGGUUGGGGGGGGGCCCGGGGGG
rnacentral:rRNA from 1 species